AUUGAACGCUGGCGGCAUGCCUUACACAUGCAAGUCGAACGGUAACAGGGAGCUUGCUCCGCUGACGAGUGGCGAACGGGUGAGUAAUAUAUCGGAACGUACCUUUGAGUGGGGGAUAACUAGUCGAAAGAUUAGCUAAUACCGCAUACGAUCUACGGAUGAAAGCGGGGGAUCGCAAGACCUCGUGCUCAUAGAGCGGCCGAUAUCUGAUUAGCUAGUUGGUGAGGUAAAGGCUCACCAAGGCUUCGAUCAGUAGCUGGUCUGAGAGGACGACCAGCCACACUGGGACUGAGACACGGCCCAGACUCCUACGGGAGGCAGCAGUGGGGAAUUUUGGACAAUGGGGGCAACCCUGAUCCAGCAAUGCCGCGUGAGUGAAGAAGGCCUUCGGGUUGUAAAGCUCUUUUGUCAGGGAAGAAACGGGGGUUCCUAAUACGAGUCCCUAAUGACGGUACCUGAAGAAUAAGCACCGGCUAACUACGUGC
rnacentral:rRNA from 2 species